UAAAAGCAGGCUGCCGGAGCCGGGAGUGGCAAUCCCCUAAUGUUCCCUUCCACCUUGUGGAAGUUUUGUUCUUUCGCUCUUUGCAAUAAAUCCCAUUGUUGCUCGCUCUUUGGGGUCUCACUGUCUGUGCGAGCUGUAAUACUCGCCGCAAAGGUGUCUGGCUUCACUUCCGAGACCAGCGAGACCCCGAACCCACCGGGAGGAAUGAACAACUCCGGAUGGGAGGGACAAACAACACCAGACGCACCGCCUUAAGAGUCCUAACGCUCACCGCGGAGGUCUGCGGCUUCACUCUUGAAUGAAGCCAGCGAGAUCACAAACCCACCAGAAGGAAGGAACUCUGAACACAUCCGAAAAUCAGAAGGAACAAACUCCGGACACACUACCUUUAAGAACUGUAACACUCAAAUCGCGAGGGUCCACGGCUUCGUUCUUGAAGUCAGUGAGACCAAGAACCCACAAAUUCCGGACACUUCCCCACACAGAGGGAACUGGCCUAACACUCUGGUGGUGCCAAUAGGAUGUACUGACAGAUCAGAAGUGGUCGUGAGAGAAGGAGCAAGUAGCCAGAAGAGUGAAGUGUGCACUGGCUGAGAUGUGGGAGCAGGUGUUGUUGGUUUCCCCGGAGUAAGUUACCUUGAGUGAGUUAAGGUUAAGAUAUCCCAGGGGUGAGGUUGAGCAGGCAGUUGUGUAUGUGACCCUGGGGAAAGUCUAGCUGAAGAUACAAAGAUGGGAUGAGAUCACCAAGGAGUAAGUGUCUUUAGCAAAGAGAAGAGACCAAGGACUGAAUCUGGAUACCUCAACAUUUGGAGUCAGAGCCUGAAAAGGAUCCCUCAAAAGUGCCCAAGAAGCAGCAGAAUGAGGAAAGACAGCCCAGGGAGUGUGGCACAGCUGCUCCUCACCACUUCAGGCUCCCCUGGAGUCCAAUGCACUGGGGCCUCAUUCCUGGGUAUUAUAAUUGCCUCCUAAGUGGCCUCUGGCUUAUGUCUCCUACCCCAGUUGAUGUUCAUCACAUCAGCCAGAGUGGCUCUGUUAACACCCAAGCCAGUUCCUGCCCAUCUGCUGAGAAUCUUCAAGGGCUUUCACCUCACUCUGAGUCGAAGCCAAUAUCUUCACAAUGGCCUGGCCCUUUGCCAACUGCUGUGGUUUAAAUGUUUGUACCCUUCAAAACUUAGGUUGAAAUUUGCUUGGCAACAUGGUGGUGGCAGGAGGUGGAACCUUUGGGAUGUGAUAGGGCCAAGGGCUCUGCCCUCAGGGGUAGGAUUAAUGCUGUUACAAAAGAGCAAGUUUGACUUUCUUUUGCCUCUUUGCCCUUCUACCUUCCUUCCUGGGAGGAUGCAGCAAGAAGGCCCUCGCCAGAUAUCAAGGCCUUAAGCUUGGACUUCCCAGCCUCCAGAACUGUCUUAUGUAUCAACAAAAUCACACCAGACCACCCAAAGCUGGCCCUGCCAACUGACCACACACACCCCUGCCUGAAAGGCAUGUUUCAAUGUGCAACAGACGCCUGCCACUCAGGGGACAUCAAAUGUUCAUGAGAACUCGCUAACCUCGAAACAGGUUCUACAAAUUCAAAAAAACCACCCGUGGCCUGGCUCUGGGCUGAAGCUGAGUCCUGGCUUGAAAUCCCCUGCCUUAAUCUCUCUUCGAAGACUUUUCUGCAUUCAUCUGAGUCCUCAUCCUCCAAGGCAGGGCUCAGGCUUGGGCUCAGGCUCCCAGCCAUGUAUCCCUCCUGGACCAUUCCUGACUCCUUUCCAGUAUCCUUAUCACUUGUACCACAUACGUUGGCCUUUGAUCCUGUGUACUGUUGGAUUUGUCUUUACUUCACAGGUUCAUCUUGUCUCCCCAAGAACAAUGAGAGUUGCCUCAAGGGGUAGAACCAUGCUUUUUGUUUUCUUUUGAAUUCAUUACAGCACAGCCAAAAGCUCAACACACAAAACACACUCAGUAAAUAUCUGUUGAACAGAAUAAAAGCCAUUCCGCAUAACCAACCCUGAUCUCUUUUGCUGGACUGUAAACCAACCUACCUAUUGUUAGUCCUUCACAGAUUAUAUGGUGGAUCUGAACACAUCAGGUAGAACCUUUGAUAAACUUAAAGUCCUUCAUUGAAUCACUCUGUAGCCACUGUUUUCUCUAGGACAAAAGCUUUAAAUAUUUUGAGAAAAUUGUACAAGACCAUCCAUCCUGAUUCUCAUGGCUUUGGUUGUUCAGAAAGGAAAUCUUUGUACACACACCAUUUCACUGCCUCCUUUUCAGUUUCCCAAUUUGGAAAAAGGAAAAAUGUGAACUAUCCCCCUCUUCGCGUUCUUUUCUAACUGAAGUGAUAGAUUUCAGAGUCGUAUAAAGCUAAGAUUAUCGUUUAUCAUAUCUCAG
rnacentral:lncRNA from 10 species